rnacentral:rRNA from 1 species
UCUGGUGGCAACAGCGAAGAGGUCACACCCGUUCCCAUACCGAACACGGAAGUUAAGCUCUUCAGCGCCGAUGGUAGUUGGGGUUCUUCCCCUGUGAGAGUAGGACGCCGCCAGGC